GGUCGUGAUGGCGGCCGG
rnacentral:misc_RNA from 1 species